CCACACAUCUGUCCAGCUCUUGGCGCACAGAGCCACGGCAAUUGUGUGGAGUGGUGAGUUUUUGGAAACGCUAUCUAAUGACUUAGAACGAAGUUCCAUGCGAGCUGAGCCGAUCGCUGUACGAACAUCUUCUGGAACUGGUGACGGAGGCGACUGAGGCACGUGCCAACCUGGCCAUCAUCAGGGACGUCAACAUGACUACCAUACCAGGUGACCCCGGAGAGCACCACGCUGGCUCAGCAGAUGUCCUUCCAGACCAAGAUUCUCUCGCAUCUCACAGCAGCCGACGUACUCCUACUCAUCGGAGAACAAGGCGGAGGUGGCGCGCCUUCUGGUCCAGUCCAGAGCGCGGAUCGACCUACAGAACGAGGCGGGGCGCUCGCCGCUGCAGAUGGCGCCACCGGGGCUGGCGAGCGACCUCCAGCAGCUGGCGCUCACCGCUGGCACAGA